GAUGAACGCUGGCGGCGGGCCUAAUACAUGCAAGUCGAGCGGACGGAGGGGACUUUCUCUUCGCUUCAGUUGCCGACGGGCGGGUGAUUAACACGUGUAUGACCGACCUAGAAGGCUGGCAUCACGUCGCGGAAGCGGAUCUAACAUCGGACAUGAUUUUGAACCGCAUGGUUCAUAAGAGCAAAACCUUCUUGCUGACACUAAGAGGGGUUUCCUGGCUGCAUUAGCUAGUUGGUACGGUAACGGCUUACCAAGGCAACGAUGCAUAGCUGACCUGAGAGGAUGAUCAGCCACACUGGAACUGAGACACGGUCCAGACUCCUACGGGAGGCAGCAGUAGGGAAUAUUGGACAAUGGGCGAAAGCCUGAUCCAGCCAUGCCGCGUGUGUGAAGAAGGUCUUCGGAUCGUAAAGCUCUGUUAGUAGGGAAGAACAUAAGUAUGAUAAUCUGUGGCUAUCUUGACGUUACCUACACAAAAAGCAACGGCUAACUUCGUG
rnacentral:rRNA from 1 species